GACGAACGCUGGCGGCGUGCUUAACACAUGCAAGUCGAACGGAAAGGCCCUGCUUGCAGGGUACUCGAGUGGCGAACGGGUGAGUAACACGUGGGUGAUCUGCCCUGCACUUCAGGAUAAGCUUGGGAAACUGGGUCUAAUACCGGAUAGGAACCAUCUUUAGUGUGGUGGUUGGAAAGUUUUUUCGGUGUAGGAUGAGCUCGCGGCCUAUCAGCUUGUUGGUGGGGUAAUGGCCUACCAAGGCGGCGACGGGUAGCCGGCCUGAGAGGGUGUACGGCCACAUUGGGACUGAGAUACGGCCCAGACUCCUACGGGAGGCAGCAGUGGGGAAUAUUGCACAAUGGGCGCAAGCCUGAUGCAGCGACGCCGCGUGGGGGAUGAAGGCCUUCGGGUUGUAAACUCCUUUCGCUAGGGACGAAGCUUUUUGUGACGGUACCUAGAUAAGAAGCACCGGCUAACUACGU
rnacentral:rRNA from 1 species